rnacentral:lncRNA from 1 species
CUAUAGAGAGUCCAGCUAGAGUAUUUUUAAUAGUACCAAGCACCUAAUAUUAUUAAAUUUUUCAUCAUUAGAUUUAUCUUUUUGAUCAUUUUUAUCCGUUAAAUCAUAUUGUUUAACUAAUCAUCACUGAACCUUGUGGACUACUAUCAUUCUAACCGCACAUCUCUUCAUCCAACGUCCAAAAAUCUAAUAGCAUUAAUAACUUUGUGCUGUUAGAAGUAUUCUGGCUUACAUAUAUAUAUAUAUAUAUAUAUAGCAGGGCUAUUGUACUAUUAGGAGCACAACAGCCCUUAUGUUCCUAACUUUCUAACCAUCCAUCAAACUUCCCUCUCUCAUUUUAACCACCUAUCAAACUUUUCUCUCUCAUUUUAAUCACCCAUCAAACUUGAUGGAUAAUUAGAAAGUUAGAAGCACGAGGACUGAUGUGCUAUUAGUUUCAUGGGUGGUUAGAAGUACAGUAGCCCUGCUCUUUCUCUCUCUCUCUCUCUCUCUAUAUAUAUACAUAUAUAUAUAAAACUAGGCUGGAAUACUAUUAAUAAUACCAAUGACUUGGUGCUAUUAAGUUUUCUGCCCUUAGAUUAAAAGAUGUAUGGUUAGGAUGAUAUGGGCCUCCUAGGGUUGAGUGGGUACAUAGUUGGUUGGAUAGUAUAAUCGAACGGAUAAAAAUAAU